GGUGUUGGAAGGGGCCGAGCUUCCCACAAAACAGGGCUAUGUGCGAGGAGAAAGUGCACCAGUGCGGGGACAGCCAGCCUAGGGGGCACUUCCGAGCAGGCAGAGAGAUUCCAAGGGCUGGGAAGCGAGAGACAAAGAGAAGGGAGGACAUGAGCGAAGGCGAAGGGGGAGAGCAGGGGAUCAGCUGAGUCAAAUCCCGCAAGGAAAGCCCUUCCCCUCCGGCGCAUCCCUAAGAAGCGCAGGGACAGGUUCCCCCCACAACCUCACCCUUGGGGCAAGAAGACAAAGAACGGAGUGGCCCCAUGGGGAAAGGGGGAGAGCAAGGGGGGGAUUCGGGGGACCCGGCGGCGCAGAUCCGCUUCUACACCUGGGAGGAGAUCCAGAAGCACAACCUGAGGACGGACAAGUGGCUGGUGAUAGAUCGAAAGGUUUAUAAUAUCACCAAGUGGGCAAACAGACACCCGGGGGGUCAGCGAGUGAUCAGCCACUGCGCCGGCGAAGAUGCCACGGAUGCAUUUCAGGCUUUCCAUAUCAAUCCCACCUUGGUGCAAAAGUUUCUCAAGCCAUUGCUUAUUGGAGAACUUGCUCCAGGGGAGCCCAGCCAGGACCGAGGUAAAAAUUCUCAGCUGGUGGAGGAUUUCCGGACCCUGAGGAAGACUGCAGAGGACAUGAACUUGUUCAGAGCAAGUCCUUUGUUCUUCUCUCUUUACUUGGGCCACAUAAUUGCAAUGGAAGUGUUGGCCUGGCUGAUGGUUUCAUACUUUGGUACUGGCUGGAUCACAACCCUCAUCCUGGCCUGCAUCCUUACGACUUCCCAGGCCCAGGCAGGGUGGCUGCAACAUGAUUUUGGACACCUGUCUGUCUUUAAAAAAUCUUCCUGGAACCACAUUGUCCACAAGUUUGUCAUUGGACACCUGAAGGGUGCCUCUGCAAACUGGUGGAACCACCGUCACUUCCAACACCACGCCAAGCCCAACAUAUUCAAGAAGGACCCAGAUGUGAACAUGCUGCAUGUUUUUGUCCUUGGAGAUACACAGCCUGUUGAGUACGGCAAGAAGAAGCUGAAGUACCUGCCUUACAACCACCAGCACGAGUACUUCUUCUUCAUCUUCCCACCUCUGCUCAUCCCUGUGUAUUUCCAAAUCCAAAUCAUCUCGACCAUGAUCAGGCACAGGUUCUGGGCGGACCUCGCCUGGGCCAUCAGCUACUAUCUGCGCUACUUCAUCACAUACAUCCCAUUCUACGGCCUCCUGGGAUCCCUGUGUCUCCUCACGUUUGUCAGGUUUCUGGAGAGUCACUGGUUCGUGUGGGUCACCCAGAUGAAUCACAUUCCAAUGGAAAUCGAUUCCGAGAAGCACAGAGACUGGCUGAGCUCUCAGAUGGCAGCCACCUGCAACAUUGAGCAGUCCUUCUUCAACGACUGGUUCACCGGGCACCUGAAUUUCCAAAUCGAGCACCACCUGUUUCCAACAAUGCCACGGCACAAUUUCUGGAAGGUGAAGCCUUUGGUGAAGUCAUUAUGUGCCAAGUAUGGAGUCCAAUAUGAGGAGAAGCCUCUUGGGAAAGCAUUUGUAGACAUUGUUGGGUCCCUGAAGAAAUCUGGUGACCUCUGGCUGGAUGCUUAUCUCCAUAAGUGAACAUGAGUCUUACUGGGGAGGUGCACAUCCAGAGUCACUGGAGUGCUCAGGGAAUCUGCUUCCUCUUGGAGUACCUUCUGCCAUACAAACCCCCUAGCAGGUGGCAUGGAGAUGCCAACUAAGGAAGAGCUGGUGAUUGUGGAAAGUCCUUUUUGCACUUCACAUGGUGAAUUUAGGGAAAUUACUUUUAUAGCAUGGAUAGGUUUCUUUAUCAGCCUUCACACAGCUCAGGAACAAUGGUGCUGCUUUCCCUCAUCCUGGGAAUAAGCACCAAAGGAAAGGAGUCCUUCCUGUCAAAGAUUUGCCUGGCCAUCCAAACUCAGCCUCCAGACUGUUCGGGGAGGCAACCGAGAACCAAAUUGUUGUGAAAACUUCAUAGAAGCAUUUUACAGUUUUCUAAAAGUCAAUUUUCUGCCCAUUCAUGGCUCAUCCAGGGCUAUGGUGAGCAGCUUUUCUAAUUCACAGCUUGGAUCCAGUGCUUUGGUCAGCCUGAGGUCAACACCAUCAGUGGGUUUUACGUCAAACACCAUUUGAGGACAAGGCCAUCAGUGGACUUGAGGUCAGCCCAGAGGCUUUAGGAGAACUGGGAGACUGUUGGUUUUUCCAAAUAACCCCAUUUAGACUUCAGUCAUCAGCUGGAGCAGCAUGAGAGCCUGAGGCUGUGAGUGGGAAGCACAGAGGCUGCCCCAGUCACGAGACUAAAUGAUGGUUGGGGAAGGCCAGACUGGGCUUAUCUGCCACCUUAAAUCAAUACUACAGCUUUACCAGAGUACACAGGAAUUGCUCCAUAGGUAAACCAGAGAGCAGGUCCUGUGAGCAGUCAAACCAGAAAAUGACCCUACUUGCCCCAUUUUUGGGACUUUUAUUUAAUCCUAGAAUAAACAUGUUCCCCUAAUACAAACACAGGGAGCUGUUACACAAAAAUAAACUGUUACAAAUCAAUAAAGACUUGGCUUUCUUCCCUGGGAGUACAGCUGUUCCCAGGAUGGCUGAGCAUCCCAGGACAACAUGGCUUCAACCUCCAAGCAUUCCAAAGGAAGAUGGCUCAAAUGGGACCAAGGACCUGGAAGUUCUGGGAUCACAUUCUGGAUUAAGAUGCCUACACUAAAACACUCUCUGCUUUUCCACAGGGCUUGUAUCUCUGCUGGGAAUCUUCAGGUAUUAGCUGAAAUGCGGAAAGACAGACAGUUUUCCAAGUUUUAUCUUCCACGAGUUUAGACUUAGCCUAUCCAAAGGUCAGCCCAUUGUUCAGCUGAGAAUUGGGAAGCCAUUCUGCCCCUGUGAACCCAGUACACCUGGCUGGGUGAUUUUUGUACUUAAUUUAUCUGGUUUUAAGCUGUGAAAGACUAAAACUUCCACAGGUUACUUGAAAUUAAACCUUUUCACCUCCCUCCUUUGAAAUUAGCACAGGGAUAGUCAGAAAUCUAAAGCAGGAAAUCAACAUAAAAUGCACCUAAGUUGGACUUGAUGAUCUUGAAGGUCAUUAACAAUACUGCUUAAAAAAAAUGUUUUACUAACUCUGCAGUGGCCCAAUUCCAGAUGUCUCAGGAAACUGUUUCACAACAUACCUUGGCAUCAGCAUGGUAAGAAACACGUUUAUGGUGCUCAGACAUGCAGUUUUUACCCAGAUGGUGCAAGGAGGUACCUUGUUACACAGAAUCCAAAAAUGGUUUGGGUUGGAAAGGAGCUUUAAUGUCCAUCUCAUUCCACUCCCUGUCAUAGGCAAGGACACCUUCCACUAGACCGGGUUUCUCCAGCUUGACCUUGGACACUUGCAGGGAUGGGGCAGCCACAUCCAUGAGCUCCCUUUUUGCAACAGGUUUUUCAAAUUCUGUUCAAAUGACAAGUUGAGCCUCAUUCAGCAUUUGUGCUGGGUUACAGCAUAUUAUCAUAUAUUUUAUUGGGCAGCUUGAAAAAUUAGUCUGAAUUCCUCAAAUAUCAUAUAGAAACACUUCCACACCGGGUCCUGCUUACACCAUCCCUCUGUCCUGGUUGGCUGCAGAUUCUACAGAACAGGGUAUAGGUGAAGGCAAAUAUUCCAUUCACCUUUCCACACAGACUCAUUAUCCAUUUGAAAACUAUGUUAUAAAUAUGAUGAAGGGAAUAAUCCAGGAUUCUAGAAUUCAAAAGCAAGCCAGGAGAUGAAUUUUGCCCCCAUGGCAACCCUUAUGUAAAAUAUAAAUAAAAGUGUUAUCUAACCCCCCCAGAGGUUGGUGGGUGCAAAUUUCCACUGGGGUAAGUGAUGAUGUUUUCUUAAAUAUCCUGUAUCAGAGCUCUUCCACCCACAACUGAGGUUUGAAGGUCAAGCUCAGGCUACUCAGGUCAAGGGAAGCUCAGCAGAAAUCCAAGAAAGGGGUGGGAGAAGGUCAAGGAGAAGAAUCCUCCCCUGGAAGCGCCACCUUCGCCUGCAGCACCCUUCUGAGCACAGUUAGGUAACCACACAACUACAUUCAGGUGCUGGAUGUGUGAAUGACAAUGAGAGGAUUAAUCACCUUAAUUGCCUGUGAUUGCACCCAUCCUCCUUCAAAUGGGUGUGUCUGGUUCAUUUGCCUGAUUAAUUUCAUUGGCCUUAAUUAUCUUGGCCUCAGAUCUGUUUCAUUAUGCAGCAAAUGGUUUUAUAUAAAACACAGGAACCAAACUGCUCUUCCUCCGUGUAUUUUAUUCCCUUGUUGCUUACAAGGUGCCUGAUAAAACCUAAAAACUUGGGUCCUGAGCUGCAGAAGAUGCUGCUGGUUUCUGGCUGGAGCCAGAUGCUCCUGCCUGGCCCAAUGAGCAUCUGCAGGUAAAUCAUUCUGAGCUGAAAUUACCACCCUUUGCAAGUCUAUAAAACCUUCAGGCCACACUCAUAAUCCCAGAUGGACCAAAGCAGCACAACCUGUGCUUCACCAUCACCCAGGGGAGGGGCAAAGAAAUAAAGUGUGAACCUAAAUCAAAGUGCUGCUGCCAAUUCCAAUUCCAUCCCGUGCUCAUUCUUGUCUCCUCAUCAUGCUGGAGCUCACCAAAUGCUAAAAUUAAGCACCUGAUUUGGUGAAAGUAUGCAACUGAAAUGCAAUCCAACAGCACUAGAGGGCAAGGCAUCACGAAUCCAGUGUUCCAGCAGCAUUCCAGCAUCAUGACUCCUUUCACAUCCUGCAAAAAGUCAACAACUCAAUAAUAACAAAGUGUCUGGGCUUGAAUGUUGCAGCAGGAGAUUCUGGGCAAGUCAGGGACUGGAUAAGCUUUAAAAGUCUCUUCCAACUCAAACCACUCCACGACUGUGAUAAAUUCUGUCUGCAUAACUGAAAAUAAAAUAAAAUAAAUAAAAA